GACGAACGCUGGCGGCGUGCUUAACACAUGCAAGUCGAACGAAGUGGCGAACGGGUGAGUAAUACGUGGGUAACCUGCCCUCCUUUUUGGGAUAAGCCUUGGAAACGGGGUCUAAUACCCAAUAAAGGGGGCUGGUGUCGCGGCCUAUCGGCUUGUUGGUGGGGUGCUGGCCUACCGAGGCGGUGACGGGUAGCGAGCAUGAGAGGGUGACCUGGCACUGUGGCACGGCGCAGAGUCCCAGGGGAGGACGCGAUGGAGAAUUUUGGGAUAUGGGCGAAUGGGUGAAAGAGUGAUGCAGCGUCGACGCGUGAGGGAUGAGGGCUUUCGAGUUGUAAACCUCGUGAGCAAUCGAAAGGGUAGCUGGAGAAGAAGCGCCGGCUAACUACGUGCCAGCAGCCGCGGUAAUUC
rnacentral:rRNA from 1 species